AUGACGGAUGCAAUAUCAAAGUACUGGUGGGGUGACGAUGACAACCAUAAGCGCAUACAUUGGGCGGCAUGGUGGAAACUAUGUGUGCCUAAGGAUAGAGGAGGGCUGGGAUUCAGGGACUUACAUAGCUUCAAUCUUGCGCUACUUGCCAAACAAGUAUGGAGGCUGUUGGAAAACCCUGACUCUCUUUGUGCACAGAUUCUGAGGGCCAAAUAUUACCCAGAUGGAAAAUUAUUAGAUGCUAAAAUGAAGAGCGGGAGCCCGUAUACGUGGCAAAGUAUUUGUGCGGGGAUUAACACGUUCAAGAGAGGUGCAAUAUGGCGUAUUGGAGAUGGCUCACAAGUGAAUAUUUGGUCGGACUCGUGGAUUCAAUCAAGUGCCGACGGUCGUGUUAUUACUCCACGAGGUUCGACUUUGCUGUCUAAGGUAUCUGAACUAAUUGAUCCUGUCACCGGCCUACGGGAUCAAGAGUUGAUACAUAGUGUGUUCUGGCCGGUGGAUGCCCACCAGAUCUUAUCAGUACCACUGGCACCGAAUGGUAUGAUGGAAGACUUUGUGGCCUGGAGGUUCACCAAGAAUCACAUUUUUUCGGUAAGAUCA
rnacentral:rRNA from 1 species